rfam:Mesitornis unicolor contig77937, whole genome shotgun sequence.
CCAACGGCUCUUUUAAGAGCCACCCACUGCUGUCCCAAAAGGGCUGU